AAAAGUUAGUAAAUCACAUCUACUACUAUAAGCAACAUGUUGGUUGUAGUGUCCCACAACAGCAUGUACUCAAGAUUCUUGAAAUGGAGCAAUAUCUCCAACUGGUGGACAUUUGCCAUUAAUGCAGGUGCAACAGUAUUUUGCUAAGAGGUCAAGUAUAUUAUACAUAUACUACCGUCAAACAUUUGGACACACUUGCCCAUUCAAUUAACCCUAACCCUAAAACCAGAGAAGUCCAUUCGUCCCCCGCCCUCCCCCCAUUCUUUUUGCAAAUGGGCAUUAAUUUUAGGAUAAUAAUGAAUUAAAAAAAAAACAAUUAAAAUUUUACAAGGAAUGCUCACAUCUACUACUAUAAGUAACAGGUUGGUUGUAGUGUCUCACAACAGCCUAUACUCAAGGUUCUUGAAAUGGAGCAAUAUCUCCAACUGGUGGACAUUUAGCAUUAAUGUAGGUAUAAUUGAGUUUUG